UCAAUCUUUCUAGAAGAAGUCCUUUAUUUCCUCUUGUUGGAAGCUCCCAUGAAAUUAGGAAAGUGACGUCUCAUUCAAAGCAUGAUCUUGAGCUUUUGCGGGUUUAACUGUCCCUUGUUGUUGUAUGGUUUCAUCAAUGCCAGAGUUAUCUUCUUUGAAUAUUGUCUCCAGAACCCUGGGUCCAGUUCUCAAGGCGGUCCUCAUUGUGGCUAGAGCUUGGAAUUGAUCAUUUCUCCUUGCUUGUUGGUGAGUCCUCGUGAUUUGAGGACGGAUGUUUUCAUUUAGUAGUUUCAUUAUUAUAUUUUCUUUUCGGACAAUGUUAAAAGGGUUGUGUCCCUAUUUGAUUCAAGU